CCUACGGGAGGCAGCAGUGGGGAAUUUUGGACAAUGGGGGCAACCCUGAUCCAGCAAUGCCGCGUGAGUGAAGAAGGCCUUCGGGUUGUAAAGCUCUUUUGUCAGGGAAGAAACAGCAGCUCUAACGCAGUCUGCGAAUGACGGUACCUGAAGAAUAAGCACCGGCUAACUACGUGCCAGCAGCCGCGGUAAUACGUAGGGUGCGAGCGUUAAUCGGAAUUACUGGGCGUAAAGCGUGCGCAGGCGGUUUGAUAAGCCAGAUGUGAAAUCCCCGAGCUCAACUUGGGAACUGCGUUUGGAACUGUCAGACUAGAGUGCGUCAGAGGGGGGUGGAAUUCCGCGUGUAGCAGUGAAAUGCGUAGAGAUGCGGAGGAACACCGAUGGCGAAGGCAGCCCCCUGGGAUGACACUGACGCUCAUGCACGAAAGCGUGGGGAGCAAACAGGAUUAGAUACCCUGGUAGUCCACGCCCUAAACGAUGUCAAUUAGCUGUUGGGGGUUAGAAUCCCUGGUAGCGUAGCUAACGCGUGAAAUUGACCGCCUGGGGAGUACGGCCGCAAGGUUAAAACUCAAAGGAAUUGACGG
rnacentral:rRNA from 1 species